rnacentral:rRNA from 1 species
UUCGCAAUGCCCGAAAGGGUGACGAAGCGACGCCGCGUGCGGGAAGAAGGCCUUCGGGUUGUAAACCGCUGUCGGGAGUUAAGAAAUGUAAGGAUGUUAAUACCAUCUUUGCUUGACUAAGGCUCCGGAGGAAGCCACGGCUAACUCUGUGCCAGCAGCCGCGGUAAUACAGAGGCGGCAAGCGUUGUUCGGAAUUAUUGGGCGUAAAGAGCACGUAGGCGGCUAUGUAAGUCGGUUGUGAAAGCCUUCCGCUCAACGGGAGAACAGCAUCCGAUACUGCAUGGCUUGAGUGCGGGAGGGGAGAGUGGAACUUCUGGUGGAGCGGCGAAAUGCGUAGAUAUCAGAAGGAACGCCGGCGGCGAAAGCGGCUCUCUGGCCCAUAACUGACGCUGAGUGUGCGAAAGCUAGGGGAGCAAACGGGAUUAGAUACCCCGGUAGUCCUAGCCGUAAACGAUGGGCACUAAGUAGAGGGGUUUU